rnacentral:siRNA from 1 species
AUACCAUCUGUGCCUGAAGUUCCC